GUUAUUGAAAAAUUACGAGCUUGUUAUUAACUAUCAUCCGGGAAAUGCGAAUGUGGUUUCGAUGCUUUGAGCAGAAAGUUGCUAUUUGCUUUGAGAGCUAUGAAUAUUCAGUUAAAGGAAUCAGAUGAUGGUUCGAUUUUAGCAAAUUUAAGAGCAAGACCGAUGUUUUUACAAGAGAUUUGUGAAGCUCAGAAAAGCGAUGAAGAUUUGCAAGCCAAAAGAAAACAAUGUGAGGUUGAUUCGAGGUUAGAUUUUAG
rnacentral:lncRNA from 1 species